rnacentral:rRNA from 1 species
GAUGAACGCUGGCGGCGUGCUUAACACAUGCCAGUCGAACGGAAAGGCGCGGCUUUAGUGGGUAGCCCGAGUGGCGAACGGGUGAGUAACAAGUGAGUAACCUGCCCUUGACUUUGGGAUAACUUCAGAAAACUGGGGCUAAUACCGGAUAGGAGCUCCUGCUGCAUGGUGGGGGUUGGAAAGUUACGGCGGAGGGGGGUGGAGUCGCGGCUUAUCAGCUUGUUGGUGGGGUGGUGCCUUACCAAGACGUUGAGGGGUAGCCGCGGUCGGAGGGUGACCGGGGACAUUGGGACAGAGAGACACGCCAGUCUCCUCCGGGGGGCGGAGGUGUGGAAUAUUGUGGAAUGGGGGGGAGCCUGAUGCAGCAACGCCGUGUGCGGGAUGACGGCCUUUGCGUUGUAAACCGCUUUCGCCUGUGACGAAGAGUGAGUGACGGUAAUGGGUAAAGAAGCACCGGCUAACUACGUG